AUCCUGCAUAAAUUAAACGGCGUGCGUUUGUAAACGAUGCGUGGUAUUUAAACAUUUUGGUGAGUUUUUUCGCUUUUACCUGAUUUGAUGAGCGUCUAAAGUGUCAGAAUUUACUUCUUAUAGUUUGUUUUACCUAUAUCUUAACGAUUGUGUAUUCUAAAUUGCAAAGGUAUAUUGUAAUUUCAAAAAUAUUUGACCGUUUUGUGUUUACAUUCCCCGCCUCCAACCUUCCUUUGUUAUCAUUCUUUGCAUUCUCAAAUAAAAUUCCUUUUUGCUUUUACAGAUACUUUCAAAUUUACCAACGCACUGAAAAUAUGUAUCACGGACCACCAACACCACAACGACAUCAAAGUACGUACAUUGGUUUAUUGUUUUCGUACCGAUAAUAUAUCAGAUAAGCUUGUCAAUAUAUGUCUGAAUGAGUGCUAUUGAAAUAAAUUUUUCAUUCUGGUUUUUCAGUGGGCAGCAGCGGAGAUGCUUAUAUGGGAGAUGGAUCCAUGGGCCCUGCUGGUGGGAUUGACUCAAAGGGUCAAAUUGUUAUGUGGCAACAAGGCCAAUACCUGACCGACUCUGGAGUCCAAUCCGGUGUUACAACUGGCGCGCCCAGUGUCUCUUCCAUACAUGAUGAGAUUGAACAACAGUCAACUAGUGCAGGGAGUGGAAUGGACACUUCUGUUCUAUAUGCUCCUCCACCUGCACAAUACCCAAAUCAUCCGCCACCCCCUCCUCAACCCCCAUCUGCUGAGCAAGCAAUGGCGGAAUUAAGAAACGCUAUGUUUCCAGAAAAUAUUGAGGACCAAACAAUGGUACAAGAUGUAAAUAGCCCUCAACAGCCACCGCCUCCACAACAGGCCCCAGACCACAUGCUUAACACGGCUGUAGUUAAUUUAAUCAACUAUCAAGAUGAUGCCGAUAUAGCAGCCAAGGCUAUACCAGAUUUAGUAAAAUUAUUAACCGAAGAGGAUCAGGUUGUAGUUGCCUCUGCUGCUUCGUUCAUUCAUCAGUUGUCAAAGAAAGAGGCACCCAGACACGCAAUCAUGAAUUCACCUCACAUGGUUACGUCUCUAGUUCAUACACUAACGAAUUUCAGUGAUCACGAGAUUAUGCGAUGCGCUGUCGGUACUUUGCAUAAUUUGUCACACCACAAACAAGGUUUACAUUCGAUAUACCAAGCGGAUGGCAUACCAGGCCUAGUCAAGCUCUUAGCAAGUCCAAUCGAAAGCGUCCUUUUCUACGCAAUAACAACCUUACAUAAUCUGCUUUUACAUCAAGAUGGAUCGAAAAUGGCCGUUCGCCUAGCGGGAGGCUUACAGAAAAUGGUCGCUUUACUGGCAAGAAACAACGAAAAAUUUCUUGCUAUUACAACUGAUUGUCUACAAAUUUUGGCUUAUGGUAAUCAGGAAUCAAAAUUGAUAAUUUUGGGAAGUGGCGGUCCUGUUGAACUUGUAAGAAUUUUACGUCAAUAUUCAUACGAGAAGCUCCUUUGGACUACUACUCGAGUUCUAAAAGUGUUAUCUGUUUGUCAAAAUAAUAAGCAGGCAAUUGUUAAGGCUGGCGGAAUGCAAGCGUUAGCCUUACACCUGUCUAGACCAAGUGUACGCCUAGUCCAAAAUUGUCUUUGGACUCUAAGAAACUUAUCAGAUGCCGCCACUAAAUUAGGUGGAUUGGAAGAGUUGCUGAGAAUGCUUAUUCAUCUCUUGUCUAAUCAAGACAUCAACAUCGUAACCUGUACCGCCGGUAUCUUGUCGAACUUAACGUGCAAUAAUCAACAAAAUAAGGUCACUGUUGUACAAGCGGCCGGUGUUGAGGCUCUGAUUAGAACCAUUUUGCAUGCUGGAGACAGAGAAGAUAUUACAGAGCCAGCUGUUUGUGCUCUGCGUCAUAUCACAUCGAGACAUGAAGAAGCUGAAGCCGCUCAAGAUAUCGUAAAGCAGCAUUAUGGCAUCUCUGUUCUUGUUAAAUUGCUUCACCCCCCCAGUCGUUGGCCACUAAUUAAAGCCGUUAUUGGAUUAAUUCGUAAUUUGGCUUUCUUGCCGUCGAAUCAAGCACAAUUACGAGAUCAAGAUGCUGUCAGUCGCCUCGUUCAUCUACUCUUUAAAGCUCAUCAAGAUAUUCAAAGACGUCCCGCUCAGUCUGUCGAUGGAGUAAGAAUGGAAGAAAUUCUCGAAACUGCCGGUGGGGCCUUGCAAGUAAUGGCUAGAGACGAAGGAAAUCGUGCAAUUAUUCGAAAAGCUAUAAAAAUACUGGUUGAAAUGCUCUACUCAAAUACUGAAACUAUUCAAAAAGUUUCCGCUGGAAUUCUUUGCGAAUUAGCAUCGGAUAAAGAAGGAACUGAAGCCAUUGAAUCUGAAGGUGCAAGUGCACCCCUAAGUGAAUUGGUUCGCUCACCCAACGAAGGAAUUGCGACUUACGCAGCCGCCGUUCUCUUCCGUUUAUCCGAAGAUAGACCCACGGGAGCGUUUAACGGAGCCGAAGCAGCUGUCGCUGGAUCGCAGUUCCCUUGGCAACGUGAUCCGAACGGUGGCCCAAGUUCGACGGCUAGAUCUCAAACAUUUGUUCCAUCAUCACCAUAUCAACAACAGCCGCCUCCACCAGCGCAACCACAGCAGCAACAACAACAACAACCACCACCACCACCUCAGCAACAUCAACGAAUGUGGUUCGAUACUGACUUAUAAACGCAGUAGUGGAACAUAAAAGAAAGCGUUCAGUAAACAAGGCAUAUCGUUGCUUUUUAUUUGCAUGGUUUUUAUAAUAUACUCGCCUUAGUUUUAAGCAGAUGUUCGUAUAUUUUAAUACAUAUUUUUUUUGUUCAUGCACCUUACAAGAAAGCUAUGUUUAAGUUUCAGUGAGUUCUUAGCAUUUUUUAAUAUAUGUAAACAAAAAUUAUAUUUCUAUUGGGUUACUUUGAUUUUUUAUGUAUUUUUCAGUAUUUGAUAAGAAACUAAGUCAUUUAAGUAAGUGUAAAUAAGAUAAGAUUUUUAAAGAUCAAUAGGCCAAAAUCAAGCCAAGCUUUCUUUUCUUAAAGUAGCAUUAAGGAGAUUGAAGUAAUCACUGUGAUCCGUUUCUUUUGGUAAUAAUUGACGAUAAUGUCUAUCGCAUACCCAAAUUGAUCUUCCAUCAAAUUGUAUUUUAGUCAGACCACAAAUUCUUCGACAGUUUGAUGCCAAAUUCAGCCUACUUCUCAGGAAAUUACUAUCUACCUUAUCUAAAGGAUACUUCAGAGUUGAUAUCUUAAAUUUUGCUUCCAGAUCUUUAAGCAUUCCAUCUAAAGUCUGCGUGAUUUGCUUCGUUCUAACUGCCAUAUCAUUGGCCAAAACAGACGAAUCGCUAGUAAUUCGAAGUAAUUGUAAAACGGCUAAAGUAUGAGGACCGUACUUGUGCAUUAUUUCGUCGACGUUACGAUGAAGGGCCAGCCCUUCUUCCGGACUUAUGUGCAAACCAUCGGGAAAUUCGCAUACAGCAUGUAAAGCAUACGCAGAAUAUUGAUUGGGGUAGAUAGUUUGUUUAGCAAUAUUUAGGCCAUCACCAACCGCUGGUAGAACGACAAAAUAUGUUGGAAAUCCAUUACAUUUCGCCGAAAGAUCUGAUUUCUCUUUAGGUAUUAAUUUCUUUGGUAUUUGGCCCUUUAUAAAUUCGAAAUUUGCGCCGAGCUGAUGACCCUGCUCGCAUGAGACAUCUGAUUCGUCAUCAUACGAUAGAAUGAUGGAAGGGAAUCUAGCUGGGUUUUCUACAUUAUUAAAUAAACAUCCAGGACAAAUGAUUGUGUUGAGGAGUCUGGAGUUCAUAGAAGCUUGAGAUUUGAGUCCUUCAUAAGUACUAGUGACUUUGUCUAAAAUUCGAUCAAGAAUAUCGAUACCUUCGUGUAUAUCUCUGUCGAAUGUUGUUCGUAUUUCUAGUAAUAGAACAUUUCUUUUCAACUGAAUGUGGUAUGCGAAACCAUCUAUUACUUCGACAAUGUGAGUUAAUAAGUACGUGGAUUUUACACCUUCGUAGACUUCGUCUGUCCGAUUUUUUCUUAAUGCAACUGUUAAAUCGGGAAAGAAACUUGGUGGAGCAAUUGUUGGUAGGGUAACCAUAAAAACAAAUUGUAGUUCAUCAUCUUCUGGAAAUUUCCUCCACGAUGUUUCAGGAGGGUAGCCAGCCGGUAAUCUCGAGGGUGCUAACAAUAAUUUUGUUCCACUCAAUCGAAUACAAAUUGACAAACUUAGUAGAAAGGAUAAGGCAUCUUGGUCCAAUUGUUUAAGUAAUAAGUCUUCUUGUAUCAGGCCUACAUUAUUAGGAUCAGAUGGUAUGGCGUGUAUGGUUGAGAGACAUUUUGCCAACCAUUCAGGUUGAAGAACAAUAACGGUAUUAUUUGACCGAGAAGCGGUGACGACCGAACCAGAGUUGGCGAACCUAGCUAACAUUAAAAGGAACUCUUCAUCAUUUUUUACGCCAUGAACCUGAGCUAGCUUAGCCAUUUCAUCCAUGGUUAUUACUGGUUUUUCUAUUCUGUUUAAAGAAUCUUGUAGUUGAGACCAUCUUCUUGGGAUAUAUGAAUUUAAUGAUAUUGUUUUCCUGCAAAUGUUUUCCAUAUAGGUUUUAAGAGAUUCAAUGUUGGCCCCGUCUGGAGAACUGACUUCAAAAUAAGCAAUAAUGUGAGGUGAAAAAAGAGGUGAUUGUACUCCAUCUGCGCCUCCGCUGUCAUCCGUCGCGUUUUCUAUGUCAUUCGCCGUAAGAUUUCCAGUUGGAGGGCGUCUUUGAGGUAGACAACCGACAGUACAGAGUAUACAAUCACUGCACGAGUCCAUACGAGUGUGUUUGAUCUUGCAGCGACUCAAUAGUUUCCUUACUUCUGUCCAUAUUUCUUGUUUAAGAUCAUCGUUCAACGAUGAAUGAUCGGCAUGUGUUCCAACAAUAAUAACAGAGGCAUUCGGAGCUUUUGAAUAGAUAUAAGAGAGCCAUAGUUGAAGUCUUCCAAGAAGAAAAUUUGAUCUUUCAACUGUACAUUCAGUCCAUUCAUUCAUUUUGAAAACUGUAACGUAUACGGCUCCAGCAGUUAAAAAAAACCCGUGGUCAUCGUACAAAUCUGCCGAACCGCCACAAUCAAAAAUCUUAAGAACAAUUUCCUCGCCAAGAUUUACUUGCCGAACAUCAACACUCUUGACCCUUGAAGCUUGGCGCAUGUUCGGUCGAGCAGAUAGUUUUAGCUGGGAAAGUCUCCUAACAACGUUAGUGCUGUUGUGGACGGGGUGAAGUCUUUUAAUUAGACUAGUCUUUCCGCAUUUUUCCUGUCCAACUACAACCAUUUUCAUAGUAUUGCAUGGAACGGGAUCUUCCGUGAGAAUUCUUAAAUAGGACUUUAAUUCCUGAACAGAUAACUCAUCGGAAACAUCCUCUAAUGGAUUAUAAUUCAGAAUGAUGUCUUUUAGCUUAUUCAAUGUUGACAGCGAAGUCGGAACGGUCUUCAACUUAUUCUGCUCUAGAUCAAUGGUUCUUAAUUGGGAGCAUAAUCCUAUAUCUUCAGGUAGGCUUAUUAGCUGGUUAUUUGAAACAUUUAGCUGUCUGAGGGAUGUGCAAGAGCAGAGUUGAUUAGGAAGAAUUUUUAAUUGGUUCCAGGAAACAUCCAAGAUCUCUAGGUUUGUUAACUCAAAGGGGGGUAGACAUGUAAGAUGAUUCUUUACUGCUCGGAUAACUUUUAGCUGCUUAAAUCGUCCUAUAGAAGCCGGUAGACUUGUUAGACGAUUUUCGCUAACGUCUAAAGAUUCCAGAGAGUCCAAACCUUCCAGCUGUAAUUGUCUCAUUCCACAUUCCACAAUGAUAAGAUUUUUUAGAGAAGAGAAAUUCAAUAGAUUCCCAGCUCUUAUACUGGAUUUUAAUAUUGUAAGUGUUAUGGUUUUGCUUGGGAAACACUUUGAAAUAUUUGAAGUAUUCAUAUCCCCCUUUACAUUCCUUAAUAAAAUGUGUUUUGUAGGAAUAUCGAGGGUCUGAUAUAGGAAAACCCCAAGGUCAUUCGCCGCUUGUCCAUGGGCUAGUAAUAUUUCAACACACAGAAAAUUUCUUAAUGAGAAGCUCUUGACCACUGAACAACUUCUAGAUUGUUCCACCACGUAGGAUCUCCUUAGGUCGUCUUCAAGGUUCUUUUCUUGACUUUUUAUAGAUCUCAAGAGAAUGAAAGGCGCCCUUGGCCUUCGGUCAACUGAAUGUAUGAAAUCGACGAUAAUUCCAACACAAUUAACGUGACCAUUCUCAACAGCGGAGUAAAGAGCGGUUUUACCUUGCUUAUCACGUUUCUCUAAAUCGGCACCAUGAGAUAAAAGAUACAUAAUAAUUUUAUGAUAACCUCUUGCCGAAGCCUUAUGUAAAGCCGUUCGUCCAUUGGAAUCGGGGACAUUAAUAAUAGUUUUGUUGGACUUGUAGUACUUUCGUACUUCAUCCACGUCAUUUCUGCAAACGGCUUCAAAGAAACCGGAAUCAGCUGAGUCAGGUUCGGAAAUGUUAGAAAUAGAUGUCCAUAAAGCUUUUGGAGGAGGAAGAGCCGUGGUUGUGUCAUCUCUCUUCGCCUCCUGCUUUUUCAACUUGUUUGAAAUUUUCUUCAACAUUCUCUCUCCUAUGUUGCGUUGAAAUCGCGCCCAAUAACUUUAAGGCCAAUAAUGUUCAAUAUAUAUUCGACAAUCAAAUCCUGAAAGCAGUAAAAAAAACAAGGAAGAGGAGAAAAAGUGAUAUUACUCAUACAAGAUAAGGAUGUUACUUAUCUAUAUUUGAAACGAUUAUAGAUGAAAACGGAGUGAAUAGGAAGAUAAUAUGCUCUUAAAGAUAAAUUAAUUAACUAAUGUAACGCGAUUGAUAAAUAAUUAACAAAGUCAUCUGAAUUAGUUGAAACCUUUUGUCUUAUUCGAAUAAUUAGAUAUAAUUAAAUUGGAUUACUUAGUAUAUAUAUUAUAAAUACAUUAUUAAGUAUAACGUAAAUAUGUACACAUACUCGUCUCUCAUUUUUUUCAUUCUCUUCCCCCCUUCAUUGAUUAUUAAUAAUAAGGCUUUUUUUAGUAUGAAAAGAGGAAGACGAGGAAGAAGAGGGAAAAGAAAUUAAAACUAUAUACGAAUAUAUGCUAUAUAUAUAAUUUUUUUAUUAUAUAUAGUAUAGCCUUCUUAUAUUUUCUUUUUUGUUGUUCUAUCCUUUAAAGAGGACUUUCCUUUCCAGUAAUUUUUUGAGGAGGAGAGAAACUAGUUUAUUCGAUAUUAUUACUUUAAUCUUCAAAUGAAUAAUGAAAUUGAAAAGUUUCGUUUGAAGACGUUCUUCCUUAUAAAACUGACAUAUCGCUGUGGGCAUAUUCAGUCUUUAAACUAGUUAACAGUACUCGAACCUUUUUCAAAGGCGAUCAAUUGCAUUUAAAGAAAAAAGAACAGAAAACACAAAUAAGGCAGGAAGAGAAAUACUAACUGCAACUAACUAAAUCUCUAUUUUCCGUGCGUGCUUUAGUGACUAUGCGUGGUGCGUUUCUCUACCUUCACCUCUCUUUUUGUGUGUUGUCUGCAUGAUGUUUGGGUAUGAUUUCUACGCGAAUUAUUAAGUUAUCAAUUAAUUUCUAUUCUCUACGUUUUUAUCCGAAAUUCUUUGUCUACUAUUCAAAGGAGCAAGUUAAAAUUCAUAUGGAAGAAAAAACAGUGUAAAUAUACCGGAAACGGGGAUAUUUUUACAUGUUUCUUAUUGUACGUUAUUCGAUAGAAUAAGUCUUUAAGUAAAGAGAGAACGUAAGAAAAUUUCUUCUUGACCUAUACUAUAUAUUUAUAAAAUUUUACAGCUAUUGUUUAUAUACGCAUAACAAGAGUAAGGAAAAGGUUGAAUUUAGAUCUCUCCUCCAACGCUAAAUAUACGUUGGACGGUGAGGCGAUGACCUUAACUUCACUCUUCUAUCUUUAGAUAAAAGGAUAAUGUAAACGUAUUAGAGUAUUUAUUAAAUUUUAUCUUAAUUGUGCUGGAAUGAUAUGUAACUUUUCUAUUUGAUUAAAUCAAACCUUGUCGAACGAUCUUUUCAUUUUAAUAUCCGUAAACGCUGUUACUGUGCAGUCUUCAAUUAUUUAAAUGGAUUCUGGGUUAAUGUACGUCAGCCUGUUUACAUUUGAAGUUAGUUAUAUGACCUGUGUAGUUUUUCACUUUUCUGGAUUCAUAUUCAGUCAUAGUGACAAAAUUCCUUUCUUUAUUCAACAAUAAUUGCAAAUUAAUUAAAUGUUAAAGUUAAUAAUAUAGGUAUAUUUAAGGAAAUUUCAGCCUAUGUUUGAUUACAAGUACAUAAAUUUUAGACUAUUUAUAUAUUGAAAAACAAUAUUAUGUUUUUUAUUUUAUGGGUCAAUUAUAGGACAUUGGAAAAGAUGAGAAUAGAAAUCAUUGGGCGGACAUUUAGAGCAGGACAAUGAUUUAUCUCAUAGUUCAUUAACCUAUGGCGUAUUAGCAGAGAAAACAUUGAGGUUAUCCCAGUACAUCUUUGCGGCGUCUAGCCUAUCAAGAGUUUAUUAAGAAAGAAAAAAUUUAGAGACGUCUAGUAACGUAUAUUAAAAAAAUAUAAACAUACAAAUGCUGAUAAUAUACCAUAUAUAUAUGUAUGUAUAUUAGUUCUAUGUAACAAAGACUAAUAAUGGAAAGAGUACACCAUCACUCAUUCACUUCUAUUCUUAAACCAGCUUUCAUUCUGUUAUAAAGAGAAAAGCUGUAGGAGGUUUAUAUUUAAGAAAAAAUAGAAUCCACAGAAUAUUUUAUAUAGUAAUACGUAUUUUGAAUAUAUAUUUGCAUUUAUAGUAUAGAUAUAAACAUAAACAUAGUGAACAUAGUGGCGUGCAUCACUAGAUCGUGAGCAGAUUAUUAACAUUUAAAAUAUAGUUCUUAAAAUAUUAAUUAAGAAAAAUAUUUAUUAUAUACUAUGUCUGUUAAUAAUAUUUUGAUGAAAUGAAAAGAUUAACCAAAGAUUUACUAUCUAAUCCUUUAUUUCAUUAAAUCCAUUUAAUAUAAUAUUUAUGAAGUAUAGCAUUUUUAUAGCGAAAAUAAAAAAUAAAUGAAGCCAUAGGAGACUUUUUUUAUUAAUUGAUAAAAAAUAAAUUUAAUAAAUUUAAGAUGAAUCUAGACUUAUGAAAUUCUAUAGAUAGG
rnacentral:misc_RNA from 1 species